rnacentral:rRNA from 1 species
CACUCCUACGGGAGGCAGCAGUGGGGAAUUUUGGACAAUGGGCGAAAGCCUGAUCCAGCAAUGCCGCGUGAGUGAAGAAGGCCUUCGGGUUGUAAAGCUCUUUUGUCAGGGAAGAAACGGUGAAAGCUAAUAUCUUUUGCUAAUGACGGUACCUGAAGAAUAAGCACCGGCUAACUACGUGCCAGCAGCCGCGGUAAUACGUAGGGUGCAAGCGUUAAUCGGAAUUACUGGGCGUAAAGCGUGCGCAGGCGGUUUUGUAAGUCUGAUGUGAAAUCCCCGGGCUCAACCUGGGAAUUGCAUUGGAGACGGCAAGGCUAGAAUCUGGCAGAGGGGGGUAGAAUUCCACGUGUAGCAGUGAAAUGCGUAGAUAUGUGGAGGAACACCGAUGGCGAAGGCAGCCCCCUGGGUCAAGAUUGACGUUCAUGCACGAAAGCGUGGGGAGCAAACGGUAUGAGAAACCCGAGUAGUCCCAU